GAUAUUUCUCAAAUAUUCAGGUAUCUUACAGAAAUAUCGACCAUCGCAAAGACACAGCCACGAAAAUAUCAGUAUUGUAUAUUUUGCAAGCCUUAUUCGACUGUAUGUGAGAAAACAACCAGAGAGUAAAGAAUUAUCAACUGAAACAGAGAGGAGGAUACUGUGAUGUCAGAAAAAUACUGCUAUCCUCUGCCGACACUGAUGAGCAAAGAAAUCAUGUUCCGAAUGAUGUACAACAAUAGCGCGAACCACAGUAUUACUGCACGUACCAGCGGAUCAGAGUCAGAGUGAUGCGGAAUAAUCGUGCCAGGUUUAAAUUCUGCCUAACGCUUCGUCAUGUCUUGCACGAUCCACGUAUACGAGCGUGUUUUUCAAUUUUAUUUAUUAUGACUUGGAUUGCCACCAGCUGCACGCGUUUUGAUCUACGCAUUCCUAAGUGCAGACCAACCAGCCAGAUUCUUCAUUCGUUCAGGGUAUGCAAUACAAAAUGUUCCGUGAAAUCGCUAUCGUCAACUUAUUUACUUAGGUUUAAUUACAUGCGUUUAAUAAAUACCUACCUUCAAUAUUUACCUACCUACAUGAAUGUAAUGUACAACGCAUAGCAUAUCCUUUGAACACUAGUAAAUAUAAGUAAAUAUGUAGGAAUUGCUUCCUACUCCGAUGUUAUGAAGUAUUACUCUGAAAGUAUGAUGCAAAUACGAUGUGUACGUGUAUAGGAGUUUACAUACGAUAUAUAUAUUGUAUAUAUAUAUGUGUAUAAUAUGUAUAUAUAUAAUAGUGUAUUUCACAUUCAAAUAUGUACCUUUGAAACAUUAUAGUUAUUAAUAUUUAGGAGAUGUACACGUAUAUUCAUGUAGAGGUGUUUUUGAUAUAGGUACAUUUGACUCAAUGCCUAGUAGCCGAAGUCACUGGAUUCUACAAUCAAUCAUCUGUAUAAUUUGUAUACAAUUAUGUGUAAAUUAUGGAAUAUUCUGAAUUUAUAAAU
rnacentral:lncRNA from 1 species